AUGGAAAGUGGGCUUUCAGAAACUGGCAUUGGCACAUGCCAAGAACUUUGGAGAAAGCAUUCUAGAAGCCAGGGGGUAGAGAAAGAAGGGUUAAUGGAUAGACAACUGUUACUUGGUACUUGGUCUUUGGUCUUGGUCUUGAACUGCCAUUUUGAUCCUGGUGCUGCCCAAACAGAGGGAGGAAGAGUUGCUUCUAGAACCUUUUCCUAUCUCAAGUCUUUGGAGAACAAAGGAAAACCCUUCAAUACUUCCCUGUGGUUCCUGAUCAGCAAAGAGCAGUUUGGAGCAGUUCUGGUUAUCCCUGUUGUCUUAUUCUAAUACCACAUGUGCAAAGACUAAAUAUUCUAUGUUUUAUAACCAUGGGGAGAAAGUGGUGCAAGAAAAAAAGCUGAGGUAGGUCUAUUAUUUACUCCCUUAGUGACACAAAUAAGAAAAUAAGUCAUCAAUGGGGAAAAAACU
rnacentral:lncRNA from 1 species